UACAGAGGGUGCGAGCGUUGUCCGGAAUCACUGGGCGUAAAGGGCGCGUAGGCGGCCUGAUAAGUAGGGGGUGAAAUCCUGCGGCUUAACCGCAGGGCUGCCUUCUAAACUGUCGGGCUCGAGCACAGUAGAGGCAGGUGGAAUUCCCGGUGUAGCGGUGGAAUGCGUAGAGAUCGGGAAGAACAUCAGUGGCGAAGGCGGCCUGCUGGGCUGUUGCUGACGCUGAGGCGCGACAGCGUGGGGAGCAAAUAGG
rnacentral:rRNA from 1 species